CACGCUUAAUUCACUUUAUUUUUCUUGUAUAAAAACCCUAUGUUGUAGCCACAGCUGGAGCCUGAGUCCGCUGCACGGAGACUCUGGUGUGGGUCUUGACGAGGUGGUCAGUGAACUCCUGAUAGGGAGACUUGGUGAAUACAGUCUCCUUCCAGAGGUCGGGGGUCAGGUAGCUGUAGGUCUUAGAAAUGGCAUCAAAGGUGGCCUUGGGAAGUUGCCCAGGGUGGCAGUGCAGCCC
rnacentral:lncRNA from 1 species